rfam:Oryza glumipatula chromosome 6, whole genome shotgun sequence.
UAUACUGUCUGUGUCCAACGCUUGAUCAUUCGUCUUAUUUGAAAAAAUUUUAUGGAUAGUAUUUAUAUUGUUAUUAGAUGGUAAAACAUAAAUAAUACUUUCUGUUUGAUAAUUUUUUAAUUUUUUUCAUAAAUUUUUUAAAUAAGACGGAUAGUCAAACAUGGAAUACGGAAACCCACAACAGUACCUAUA